rnacentral:rRNA from 1 species
UACGGGGGGAGCAAGCGUUGUUCGGAUUUACUGGGCGUAAAGGGUGCGUAGGCGGCGCGGUAAGUCGGGGUGUGAAAUCUCGGAGCUUAACUCCGAAACUGCAUUCGAUACUGCCGUGCUUGAGGACUGGAGAGGAGACUGGAAUUUACGGUGUAGCGGUGAAAUGCGUAGAUAUCUGGAGGAACACCGGUGGCGAAGGCGGCAUCCUGGACCGGCAUUGACGCUGAGGCGCG